UACGGAAGGCAGCAGUGGGGAAUAUUGCACAAUGGGCGCAAGCCUGAUGCAGCCAUGCCGCGUGUAUGAAGAAGGCCUUCGGGUUGUAAAGUACUUUCAGUCGUGAGGAAGGUGUUAAGGUUAAUAACCUUAGCAAUUGACGUUAGCGACAGAAGAAGCACCGGCUAACUCCGUGCCAGCAGCCGCGGUAAUACGGAGGGUGCGAGCGUUAAUCGGAAUUACUGGGCGUAAAAGGGCACGCAGGCGGUUAAUUAAGUUGGAUGUGAAAUCCCCGGGCUUAACCUGGGAAUGGCAUUCAAGACUGGUUAGCUAGAGUCUUGUAGAGGGGGUAGAAUUCCAUGUGUAGCGGUGAAAUGCGUAGAGAUGUGGAGGAAUACCGGUGGCGAAGGCGGCCCCUGGGACAAAGACUGACGCUCAUGUGCGAAAAGCGUGGGGAGCAAAACAGGAUUAGAUACC
rnacentral:rRNA from 1 species